UAAUGACUCACAAGUCCACCCAAAGCCUCAUUUCAUCUUCCACAACAAGCUAGAGAGAGAGAGAGAAGACACAAGCCAUGGCAUUCGGCCAUGGCUAGCAAAAUUGGAGCUCGAAUUUCUUGAUCAAAAAAAUCAGAUUUUCAAAGUAUUCCAACCAGUUAGGAAGGCUAUAAUAACGUGGAUUAGUCAUUUGGAGCAACAAGAACAAGUAUUAUUUCAUUUCACAACUUCUAGCCAAAUUAAGGUUGAAGUGCCAAUCGAGACGAGUUUAAAUUAUUGAAUUGGUACAGACGACAAACGGUACAGACGUUUUUUUCUGGUGACUCGCCCAUGUAGGAUACAUUUUGCUACUUUGGAGUGCUCCUUUGACUCGGAGCCCAUACUUUUGGUAAAGACCUUUCAUUGUAUAUGUCUCUGUAUAUGUAUGUAUGACUAUCUGGGGUACGGCGGGGCCCUGUCCCGUCAUAUGUUCUGUUAUGGUUUGUAGAGGCCUGUAGUCAUAUAUGUGGGUCAUGGGUCAUGUUUGUUCGAUUAUGUUUGUGAUUUGUGCCUUAAGCGGUCCCGUUUGCUAUUAUGGCCAAAACGGCCCAUAUGUUUGUAUAUGUAUGUGUAUCC